CAAGAUUUGUAAACACCAGAGCCUGAUCUGUCAUGCAGCACAUGGGGGAUACAAUUUGAAUAAGUACAGCCUCUUCUCGUGAGGGAACGUCAAAGACUUUGCAAGUCCUCCUGAACUGGUUCCUAAAGCCUGCCUAGGGCAGCUCAGUGGACUCCACAUAUGUCCUCUUGGUUGCUCCGGUGUCUGCCAUUUCCCUCCUUUCCAGCUCUGGCCACUCAGGACUCGGACAAGUAUUGAUGGAGAAUGGAUGAGGGGAUCAAGUUGGGAAUACUGCUCCAUGAUCUCCCCUCCCCUGCUGGAAUCCUGCAGCGCCGGCCUGCACCAUGAGACUAAACUCUCUAUUCAAUGACCUUCAAUAACUGGAUCUCUGCAGAAGUCUUCCAGCUUUACCUCCUGUAGUUCCCUCUUUACACCAACAGUUUAAGAUGGAUCAGAUUAUUUGUUUUCAAAAUGCAUUCACUGUACACACACAAGCCACCUUGCCUUUGCAUGUGUUUUAUAGUCUGCCUGAAACAGCCUUCCCUCCCUUCCUCUCCCCUCACCAAACACAUUGCAGCAGCUCAUCCUGUCACCUCCUCCAGGAAGCCUUCCCUGCAUCCUAUCUCCUCUUUCUUCCCUGCUAAGCUACAUGCUUAUCAUCUGUGUUCCGCCUAAGCUCCCUCUGCAUUAAUUUUGACUGCUGGCU
ensembl:lncRNA